rnacentral:rRNA from 1 species
UUGGAAGCUCACUGGCUUCGGAGUCAUGGAAACUCCAAAAUUAAGCAAGUUUGGGCUAGAGCAAUCCCAAGAUGGGUGACCCACUGGGAAGUUGCUCGUGAGUUCCCAGA